GACGAACGCUGGCGGCGUGCUUAACACAUGCAAGUCGAACGAAGUGGCGCACGGGUGAGUAACGCGUAAUCAACCUGCCCUUCAGAGGGGGACAACAGUUGGAAACGACUGCUAAUACCGCAUACUGAAGGAGGGGAGUGCGUGUGAUUAGCUAGUUGGUGGGGUAACGGCCCACCAAGGCGAAGAUGAGUAGCCGGUCUGAGAGGGUGGACGGGCAACAUGGGAAUGGGACACGGGCCCGGAUCCUACGGGGAGCAGCAGUGGGGAAUCUUCCGCAAUGGGCGAAAGUCUGACGGAGCAACGCCGCGUGAGUGAUGACGGCCUUCGGGUUGUAAAGCUCUGUUAAUCGGGACGCGGUACCGGAAUAGAAAGCCACGGCUAACUACGUGCCAGCCGCCGCGGUAAUUC
rnacentral:rRNA from 1 species